CUCAGUGCGCCCCAAUCAUUAUACUCUGUCUUCCACCACAUCCCUAACUCAGCCAUGAAUCCAGUGAACCAACCUUUCACCCAGAGAAGCUCUCACCUCUUGUGCUCUUGCCUGUCUUUAUUGUCACCGAUGAGAACUGCUCAUCUCCCGUCACCAUCUCGGUCUCUAGAAGUUGUCUGUCGCAUCGCCGUCUCUGCCCGCGUGGUCAUCGUCGGUUCCGAUCUACUGCUGGCCCGUCCUCUCUUCUCCAAUAAGCACCAAUAUUUCUUUCAAUUUGUGAUGUUAAAAUGUGAUUAUGGAAUUUAAAAUGACUAGGAAAGGUCGUUACACGAAAAAACCAAAAUUGGGAUCAGGAUGUCAGCAACCUCAAACGACUCCGUCUCUGGCUUCAGCUUUUCACCACGAUGACUCUCAAAUUUCCCCGGCCAACGGUGAUGGUGUUCUUACAACCUCACGCCCGUUUCGUUUAUCGCGCAGUGAACCAAGGCCUGCUCCACAGACGAGCACAAAUAGCAAUCAGAACUCAGAGAUAGGCCACGUAAACUUGGACGCUAAUGCAAACGAGGUAGAUUUUCUUAAUCAAAAAGUUGAUGACCUCUUUGUUGCUUUUGAUGCUCAGAGUCGCAAAAGACGCAAGACUACAGAGUUUUUGAUGGUUAAGAUCAUCAGUAACGUAUUUAAUAAUUUUUCUUUGAUCAAUUUACGCUAGACUCUAUGUUAUUUAUUAGUCUUCGUGCAUGCUGUCCAUAAUGGAGACACAUAUAAGGUAUUAUAUUUGGCUUAUAGAUUUCGAUGGCACAAUCAAGCCGGCAAAAUUUAUAUUUGGCUUAUAGAUUUUGAUGGCACAAUUAAGCCGGAAAAAUUAAGUGUGAGGGAGGCUAUGGAACGGCCUAACGGUAGAAGGAUCAUGCUUAAGUUCAACAACGAAAAGCAGGCAAUUGGAGACAAAGGCGGACUGUUGAGUGGCGUUCUUAGUCUGCUAAGAUCUGACUAUGAAAAAUUUUCUAUUUGUGAGGAAAGUUGGCGUAAGAUUACCACUAAAGACAAGGUUUAUAAAGAAUGUGUCAAGGUAAAAGUUUAUAUCCGUGUUGAAUUAAAUCUGCUUAUUUGUUACAAGUAUUAACAAAUUGUAUUAUCUAUGUAGCAAAUUUUCCACUUUGAUGAAGAUAGUGAAAGAACUAUCAAUAAAAAUAUUUUGAAAAGUAUAGGGAACUCUUGGAAGGAUACAAGGCUGAGGUUGUAUGAUGCUCAUUACGAGCCAACAUCAACGACUGAACAAAGUAUUGAGAACCGUCCGCCGGGAAUUGAUCGAAAGCAUUGGAGAUGGUUCCUUGACUAUCGCGCCAAAGCUAAGAUGCAGGAGAAGUGCAAAAAAAAACGAUAAAUCGAUCAAAACAACUUUAUACCUACAUUGGCGGUUCGAAAAGCUUCGCAUGGUGGAGGAAAAAAGAGUAAUGGCAUAAACUUUGUUGUUACAUUCGGAACAAUAAGGAAGGAGAGUUAUGGAUCAAAGUGCACAAAAAAAGGAUGGCUCCUAUAUCAAUGAUGAAGCAAGAGCAAUUGGUGAAAGACUUGAGGAGAUUGAGCAACAGGAUGAGUCUUCCAGAGUGUUGUCUCAAAAUGAUUCCAUUGCUUAAGUUCUCGAAAAAGAGAAACCGGGUAGAGUGCGUGGUGUGGGUUUUAGACCAACUCCUAAUCAACUCUUCGAUCCAAAUUCGCAUCCGUCGAGCAACGGAGUCUAAGUAGAGGAGACCUAGAGGAAGCUGAUGAAUGAACUACAGGCAGAGCUGGAAGUCGAGAAGUUGAAAAUUAAAAGAAGGCGAUGGAGGAUGAAGCAGCAACAGAGAAGAAAAGGAGGAAGGUGACAGAGAGUGCUUAGAUUUAUCUAUUUCAACGGUAGGGUGAGGAGCUGCCACCAGACAUCGCUGCAGGAAUGAGUUCAGUGGAAUGAUAGAGUGAAAUAUAGUAUAUUAGGAUUGGAGAUAUUUUGGAUUAAAGCAAAUAUUUUUUUGAAGUAGACUAUGCAAUUUUUUGUAAGAGAUUUGUUUUCUUGAUA